rnacentral:tRNA from 1 species
GAGGGUAGAGUAGUUUGGUAGUUCACAAGACUCAUAACCUUGGGGUUGCGGUUCGAUUCC